rnacentral:rRNA from 1 species
AGUAACACGUGGGUAACCUGCCUCAGACAGGGGGAUAGCCUUCCGAAAGGAAGAUUAAUACCGCAUAACAUAGUUUAGCCGCAUGGUUAGAUUAUCAAAGGAGUAAUCCGGUUUGAGAUGGACCCGCGGCGCAUUAGCUAGUUGGUGAGGUAACGGCUCACCAAGGCGACGAUGCGUAGCCGACCUGAGAGGGUGAUCGGCCACAUUGGAACUGAGAUACGGUCCAA